rnacentral:lncRNA from 1 species
GGCCAGAGUUCCAGGAGCAUGAGGGAAUGCCUACCGUGUCAUGAAGGUGAAUUAUGACCAUCGGGGUUCAGACCUUAGCUCAACUGGAGACCAGCCUGCAAUUCCCCACAACAAGUCUUGCACCAGAGAAUAUCAGAACGAGGCUGGCACUGAUCCAAGAAAAAGACAGCUGCAUUUCUCUCUCAGAAAGGAGUAUCAUGGAAGAGAGGAUGGAACACUGUAUGAGCCAAAGAACACCGAGGAGUGCUGCAAAAUGGUGUCUUCUGGACAAGACAGCAUGAGUAUCCAUUACCUCAUGACAGCUGUAUCUGUCUGAAUGGGUGGUGGUGG